rnacentral:lncRNA from 1 species
UGUGUAGUGUACAUAAGUGACAGUUACAGUUUAUUGGCGGCAAGUUACUUUACGCAGCGUGGUUCAUUGUGUGUUUUUAUUUUUUAAUUGUUAUUGUUUAGUUUGAAAAUGUCUGCGGUGUGAAAUUUUUUCGCAAAAAAAGGAAACAAUCAACUUGUUUCUUGUAAUUUAUGCGAUAAAGAAUAUACAACGUGUGGAAAUACUACAAAUUUAUUCACUCAUUUAAAAACAAAACAUUAUAAUGCUUAUAUGCAAAUGUUAAAGCAUCAGACCCUUUCAACAACGAAAAAAUCUGGGAAAAGAACUGAAGUUACUGCAUCAAUAGAUAAUGAUGAUCCUGAUGUUGAUGUAUGUCUCAUAAAUUCUAUAAAAAAUUGCAUUCAUCCAACGUAUGAUUAAAAACGAGAAGAUUAUGAUUUAAUAUUUCGUUUGUUGAUUUUUUUAAAUAUUUUUUUAUUUUCAGGUUACGUUGUCAAGAAAUAAAAGUUCAAGUCAGAACCAAAAUAUCACAGACGAUUCUUCGAAUUCUGCAGAAACUAAGUCCCACAACUAUGAACCUAAAAGAAGAAAACAAUCCACCCUUGAAAGUUGCUCAGAGAGAAGUUUAAGUUUUGAAGAAGGCAGACAGAAACAUAAUGAAAUUACUCAGGCAUUAAUUUAUAUGAUAUGUAAGGACAAUUUCCCACGAUCAUGUGUGGAAAAAAGUGGUUUGCAAAAAUUCAUUCGUACUGUUAGCCCUCUCUAUAAGCUUCCAUCCAGAAAAGCGAUAUCUGGUUUGAUUGAAAAUAGAUAUAAUACUACAAAGGCGAUCCUUAUGAAAGUUUUAGACGAGGCAAAUUUCUUAUAUUUUACCAGUGACAUACUCACAAUCACUAAUUCAACAAGAAGUUUUUUUGGUAGUGACAGUUCACUUUAUCAUUACCAUCAAAGAAAAGAAUUUUUCUGCUAUCCAGAGUAUAAACCUAUGCGCGCAAAAACUAUCACAGAGUCAUACAGCCCAGUAAAUCACAAAAACAUGGAAUGCUAUCUGCGACGAGUUUUCUAUUGAUAGAAGUAAAAUUAUAUCGAUCACUACAGAUGGUGGCGCGAAUAUGGUUGCAGCAGUGCCAUUGUUUUUAGGAAAAGAUCAUAGGAUUCCCUGUUUAGCUCAUUGUUUAAACCUUAUUGUUGAUGGGACCAAUUACGAGCAGAGCUACAAGCUUCAGGCAAAAAAGAAGGCGAAGUUUUGACAUUGAUCCAAGCAGUCAGCACUAGAUGGAACUCGUGCUUAGAUAUGCUGGAACGGUGUUAAAUUGUCAGGAAUCGUAGCUAAAAUUUUAGCCACUAAAAGCCAAACUAACAAGAAUACGCCUGAUAUGGUAGCAACUUCGCAGCUUAAAGUAAUUCGAGACCUGACUACUAUUCUAGGUCUUUUUAAAGAAUCUACUGAAGAGAUCAGUGGAGAAUAUUAUGUUACGUCAAGCUUGGCAAUUCCUGUUUCUAAUUUACUUCGUCAAGUUACUGAUUAAUCAACGCCAUCGACUACUCUAGGAGAAAUUGUUAGAGGCCUUACUUAAAAAAGUCGAAGAAAAACUAGUUCCCCUUGAGAAAAAUACUUUUCUUUCGGUGGCGAGUAUAUUAGACCCACGAUUUAAACGUCUUCAUUUCACGUCUCCACUCGCUGUCUCCAGUGCUAUUUCAAGACUCAGCAAUGACAUUCGCUCAGAGCAUAGGCGAAGAGGACAACGAUCUCCAGAUCCAAGACCAGCUCAAGCAUCACCAGAAGCUAACUCGUCAUCUAUUUGGUGUAGCUAUGAAAAAUUAAUAACGCUUAGUUCAAAUAGAGCAGAAAUUCUAAGCUCUGGCAGCAUUCCCAAUGAACUAAAACAAUAUUUGGACCAACCAAAUAGCUUUAAAAUAUUUGAUUUGUCAGGCUUCCUCUAUAGCAUCUGGAAGACUUGCUUUGGCCGUUAAUUUAGCUGUUCCAGUUAAUAAAAGCAGGUUAACUGGAGAGCAUGUUAAAGAGCGAGUACUUUUAAUGUCUAUACCAGAUGAUUACUGGUUUGAAUAAAAUUCAGAUUACUAACCGCUGUUUAAAUUUUCAU